AUGAGACCUCCUAUGUUUGAGGGUAUCCACUAUAAGAGGUGGCGCGUGAGAGCAGUUUUAUGGUUUCAAAUCAUGAGUUGCUAUGACGCCACUCUCGGCAAACCUGAAGGAGAGCUUGAUGCUCAACAGGCACAAGCUUUUCAGAAAAUGGAUACUCUGUUUAAGGCUGCUCUCUUGAGUGUUCUUGGUGAGAACAUAGUUGAUGCUUAUGCGUCAAUUGAUAAUGGAAAAGAUAUGUGGGAUGCGCUCGAGGCCAAGUUUGGGGUCUCGGAUGCUGGCACUGAGCUGUACAUCAUGGAGCAAUUCUAUGAUUACAGGAUGACUAAAGAGCGCUCCGUGGUUGAGCAAGCUCAUGAGAUACAGUCAUUUGCUAGAGAACUUGAGCACUUCAGUUGUAUGCUACCGGACAAGUUCGUUGCCGGAGGUAUCAUCACUAAGCUUCCUCCUUCAUGGAGGAACUUUGCUACCUUGCUGAAGCAUAAGAGGCAGGAGUUUUCCGUCCCGGAUCUCAUUGGCACUCUUGAUGUGGAAGAAAAGGCGAGAGCAAAGGACACACGUGCUUGA
rnacentral:rRNA from 1 species